rnacentral:rRNA from 1 species
UGAAUACGAGACGCUAAGGCGUCGAAGUAGUGUAUGUCAUACUUCCAAGAAAAGCUUGCACUGUCAUAGAUAAAAAACGCCUGUACCAUAACCGACACAGGUGGGUAGGUAGAGUAUACUAAGGGGCGCGAGAUAACUCUCUCUAAGGAACUCGGCAAAAUAACUCCGUAACUUCGGGAGAAGGAGUGCCUUAUUCGUAAGGUUGCAAUAACAAGAUCCAAGCAACUGUUUAUCAAAACACAGGUCUCCGCUAAGUCGUAAGACGAUGUAUGGGGGCUGACGCCUGCCCAGUGCCAGAAGGUUAAAGAAGUUGGUUAGCAAUUGCGAAGCUGAUAACUGAAGCCCUGGUGAACGGCGGCCGUAACGAUAACGGUCCUAAGGUAGCGAAAUUCCUUGUCGGGUAAGUUCCGACCCGCACGAAAGGCGUAAUGAUUUGGAUACUGUCUCGGAGAGGGGCUCGGUGAAAUAGACUUGUCUGUGAAGAUGCGGACUACCUGCACCAGGACAGAAAGACCCUAUGAAGCUUUACUGUAACUUGAAAUUGAAAUUGGACUUUAUUCGCGCAGUAUAGGUGGGAGGCGUUGAUUAUAAUCUUGUGGGAUUAUUGGAGCCAUCAGUGAGAUACCACUCUUGUAAUGUUAGAUUUCUAACUUUGAAUCAUUAUCUGGUCAAAGAACAGUUUCAGGCGGGCAGUUUGACUGGGGCGGUCGCCUCCUAAACGGUAACGGAGGCGUACAAAGGUUUCCUCUGAACGGUUAGAAAUCGUAUCUAGAGUGUAAAGGCAUAAGGAAGCUUGACUGUGAGACCUACAAGUCGAGCAGGGACGAAAGUCGGUCUUAGUGAUCUGACGGUACUGAGUGGAAAGGCCGUCACUCAACGGAUAAAAGUUACUCUAAGGAUAACAGGCUGAUCCCCCCCAAGAGUUCACAUCGACGGGGAGGUUUGGCACCUCGAUGUCGGCUCAUCGCAUCCUGGGGCGGUAGUACGUCCCAAGGGUUGGGCUGUUCGCCCAUGAAAGCGGUACGCGAGCUGGGUUCAGAACGUCGUGAGACAGUUCGGUCCAUAUCCGGUGUAGGCGUUAGAAUAUUGAGAGGAGCCUUCUUUAGUACGAGAGGACCGAGAAGGACAUACCUCUGGUGUACCAGUUAUCGUGCCAACGGUAAACGCUGGGUAGCUAUGUAUGGAGUGGAUAACCGCUGAAAGCAUCUAAGUGGGAAGCCCACCUCAAGAUAAGUAUUCUCAC